ensembl:snRNA U6 U6 spliceosomal RNA
GAGCUCAUUUUGACAGCACAUACACUAAAAUUAGAACAAUGCAGAGAAAUUAGCAUGGCCCCACACAAGGAUGACACACAAAUUAGGGAAGAAGUCCAUAUUUUU